UCUACUGAACCCCAAAAUCCUCAGUUAGCCUUCACUCCUCCAAGAAAUCAGACCUAAAUGGGAUAGUUUUAUGUUUUUCUUGCAUUUCCGUUUUCGGAUUUUGGUGUAGGUGAUUGUGAGAGUUCCAAUUGUAUGUUUUUUCAAUUUUGGUCUAAUCGGACAGAUCACUUUUACCAUGUAUCCGAACGAGACAAGUCGUUUGCCAUUCAUGAAGGGUACAAAGAGUUCCUCUAAGAAAAUGUCCUCUGAAGAAAGAGCUGCGGACGGAAUAAGGUGCACUUGUCCGCGUGGAAAUUGUUCGGGUUGCGGCUGCUACAAUGGAUGUUCUAGAAAUUGCGGUUGCUCCAACUGCCAGAGGAACCGGCAGCGAAAUGAGAGGAAAACAUAAAACUUUCCAAGUACACAUUUCUAUUUAAAAGAUGGUCAGGGAAGAAAACGUCCCUCAAGGAAUCCUUGCUAACCGGGACUUGCGAAUCGAGUGGAAGUCUCUACUUCUCGUGGCUUUCCAUCGCCAUGGUUCCUUGAGCGCGUGAAAGAAGUCCCAACCGUCGCAAUUUUUGGAAUUUUCCUUCAUUCGGACUUUAGGAUUCAAUAUAAUAUUAUAUUUAUAUUUGUAUUCCUUACUCGGAUUCCAAAUUGUUAGGCCUUAGAAACACACUGAUUUCCAAAUACUUGGAUUCCCAAAGACUCUGAAUCCCAAACACUCGGAUUCCGAAAUACUUGGAUUCCGAAACACUUGGAUUCCCAAUCACUCGGAUUCCCAAACAUUUGGAUUCCCGAAGACUUGGAUUCCCAAAUACACAUUACAUGAUUAACAAUUACAACAUAAUUACAAUUAACACUAUUAUGGAAUUGGCACCAAAUAAAAAACAAUAUAAGUUAA